rnacentral:rRNA from 1 species
GACGAACGCUGGCGGCGUGCUUAACACAUGCAAGUCGAACGGAAAGGCCCUGCUUUUGUGGGGUGCUCGAGUGGCGAACGGGUGAGUAACACGUGAGUAACCUGCCCUUGCCUUUGGGAUAACUUCAGGCAACUGGGGCUAAUACCGGAUAGGAGCUCCUGCUGCAUGGUGGGGGUUGGAAAGUUUCGGCGGUUGGGGAUGGACUCGCGGCUUAUCAGCUUGUUGGUGGGGUAGUGGCUUACCAAGGCUUUGACGGGUAGCCGGCCUGGCAGGGUGACCGGCCACAUUGGGACUGAGGUACGGCCCAGACUCCUACGGGAGGCAGCAGUGGGGAAUAUUGCACAAUGGGCGGAAGCCUGAUGCAGCAACGCCGCGUGCGGGAUGACGGCCUUCGGGUUGUAAACCGCUUUCGCCUGUGACGAAGCGUGAGUGACGGUAAUGGGUAAAGAAGCACCGGCUAACUACGUG